GCGUGAAUGGUUUAGUGGUAAAAUUCUCCGUUGCCAUCGGGGAGCCCUUGGGUUCGAUUCCCAGUUCACGCA
rnacentral:tRNA from 1 species